rnacentral:rRNA from 1 species
UAAGGAAUAUUGGUCAAUGGGCGCAAGCCUGAACCAGCCAUGCCGCGUGCAGGAAGACGGCCCUAUGGGUUGUAAACUGCUUUUGUCAGGGAAUAAACCCCCGCUCGUGAGCGGGGCUGAAGGUACCUGAAGAAUAAGCAUCGGCUAACUCCGUGCCAGCAGCCGCGGUAAUACGGAGGAUGCAAGCGUUAUCCGGAUUCAUUGGGUUUAAAGGGUGCGCAGGCGGAUUGGUAAGUCAGGGGUGAAAUCCCACAGCUCAACUGUGGAACUGCCUUUGAUACUGUCAGUCUAGAGUAUAGUUGAAGUGGGCGGAAUGUGUCAUGUAGCGGUGAAGUGCUUAGAUAUGACACAGAACACCGAUCGCGAAGGCAGCUCGCCAAGCUAUAACUGACGCUCGUGCACGAAAGCGUGGGGAUCAAACAG